GAGAGCAAAACGCAGCCUAGGGGCAUCUCUGGAAGCGAGCAAGGCUGGACCCAUUGAUUGCCUUGUGCCUUGUUUUGGUGAUUUUUAAAAUUUGACUUCAGAAUUGGACAGAAAAAGCAUCUCAACCAAUGUUGUGUAUUUGAAAAAGAUGGCAAAUCGCUCGACAGAGAGAUGUAUAAUUCAGGCCACUACUGAAUUAUAUGCCUAGAAGCCAACCAAGUCUAUUGCCCUGAUCUUAUUAUAUGGAAAGGAAACGGAAGCUGGAAAGGUCAAGGAAGUUGCCCCGAGUCGUCAUACAAGUCCUAACAUCAACAGCAAAGUCCACGGAGUCUCUGAUGCUGCAUCCGACACAACAGAUGCUUGGGAAGAGAUAGCUGCCCGAGAUGGGAGAAGGAAUUUCCCACCUUCAAUGCCAACCACCCCAGGCUAUUGCCCAGGAUGAGUGCAGGUGCCAUGUAUUCAAUAACGACGCAGGAUGCUGUCUGUGCAGAAUGGUCCAGGAAGUGGAGUACAAGGUCGGUUAAAAACGAAAAGAAAUCAAAAGAAAUGAAAUGGGCUCCAAAGGCCUUGCAAAUAGGACUCAGUCCGUAUUUAAAACCAAUGACACAGAAACCAUUGCUCGUGGAAAUGAUGGAGGAAUGUUGUCUCCUGGCCAGGACGGCACAGACCACCCUCCCCACGUGGCCCCAGAAACGUCGUCUUCUUUCUGCCCAGCUGCAGGCAGCUUCAGCCGACCCUGGCUUUCUCAGGAUACCUGCAACCUUGGUGAAGUCAACAGAUAUAAAGCUGGAAACCAGAGGCCAAGCCAAAUCACGCAGAAGCCUUUCACAAGCGACAGGUCUAAAAGUCAGACCUCUGUUUUCAAUACUGUCACAUGACCACUUAUGAAUGGAACCUCCUUGGAAAGUGCCAGGGAAUGCCUUGCUUCCGCACUAUCAAAGGACCAAAAUGACAAUAUAGCAUUUGGGAUCUAGGUGAGAAGUUUCCCAUGUUGGAACUCUCUUCCUGAGCUGGGUGACAAGGCAAGAUCCCUUUGACCUUGUGGACAAAAUGUAAUAGGCACCUAAAAGGUUUUUUUCUUUUUAAUUUUUCUUUUUAAUUUCAGUUGUUUCCUAAAAUUUAGCUCAUUCCCUCCUUUCAAAAGCUCACCACUGUCUAUGGGAUAAAGACCAAACUCUUGGGUGCGGCCUUCAGGUCUGUCUGUUCCAGCUGUUUACUCUCCCAGUGCCAUCUCCCUGCCACAUCUCUCCUUGCUCUACUUUGCUUCCAGAAAGAGCCCAAACAAACCCACAUGGCCACAUGGCUGUGUCUCUGCUCAUGCUGUUUCCUCAGCCUUGGGUCUUUUUCCUCUUUUCCAGUUACCAAAAUCCCAUUCAUCUUUAAAAAGUGAUCCCAGGGCUUCCCUGGUGGCGCAGGGGUUGAGAAUCUGCCUGCCAAUGCAGAGGACACGGGUUCGAGCCCUGGUCUGGGAAGAUCCCACAUGCCGCGGAGCGACUAAGCCCGUGAGCCACAAUUACUGAGCCUGCGCAUCUGGAGCCUGUGCUCCGCAACAAGAGAGGCCGCGAUAGUGAGAGGCCCGCGCACCGCGAUGAAGAGUGGCCCCCACUUGCCGCAACUAGAGAAAGCCCUCGCACAGAAACGAAGACCCAACACAGCCAAAAAUAAAUAAAUAAAUAAAUAAAUAAUUUUUUAAAUGCUUUAAAAAAAAAAAAAGUGAUCCCAGUUGCCACCUCUUCUGGGAUCGUUUAUCCAUUGCUGACCCAUCAUAAAUGAUUUCUUCUUCCAAACCCCCUCCACCCUUUGCUGCAACCUCCAACUUAUUGCCUAUUUCGUUUGGCCUCAGGUUCCCAUGAACAACCUUGUCUCAAAUUAGAUAUCAGUUCUUUAAGGUUAGAGUCAAUGCCCCGUUUUCACCCUCUCCUGCUCCAAAACUUCCCCGGGCUUUGCAAAUGACGGCUACCCAGUGCAUGCUUGCUGAACGCACUUGGUUGAAUUUUCACGCACUCGGUCCAGAAUGGGAAAGGCAGUUCCCACUGGGAUAGGUGGCCAGGGAUGUUUUCAGACUCGCAUGACGGAGAAGGAGGCUGAGAGGUUACCUCAUCUAUCUCUGCCUUUAGGCAAGCUCAGCAAAGCCCGCCAAGAAAGAUGAGCCUUGCUAAGGAAGGGGAGAGAGCCUGAGAUGAAUCCUUAAUACUCCUUGUCAGGAAAUCCUCCUCACAAUCCAUCCUAAAGCCUGUAAGU